rnacentral:tRNA from 1 species
GCACACUUAGAUCAAUGGCUAGAGCAUCAUUCAUGUUAAGAAGUUGAGGUUGUGGGUUUGAGUCUCACAGUGUACA